rnacentral:rRNA from 1 species
GAUGAACGCUGGCGGCGUGCCUAACACAUGCAAGUCGAACGGAAAGACCCUGCGUUUGUGCUGUUCUCGAUUGCCGAAGGCGUGAGUGUCACGUGUGUAUCCUGCCCUUGUCUUUCGGAGAUCAUCACGAAACUGGGGCUAAUAUCGGAUAGGAUCUCCUGCUCCGUGGUGGGCAUUGGAAAGUUUCGGCUUUUGUGGAUGGACUCGCGGCUUACUAGCUUGCUGGUGGGGUAGUGGCUUACCCAGGCUAUGAAGGGUACCCGGCCUGAGAGGGUGAUCGGCCACACUGGAACUGAGACAGGGUCAAGAGGCCUACGGGAGGCAGCAGUAGGGAAUGGUAGGCAACAGGGGGAAGCAUUACACAGCAAGCCCGAGUGUGUGACGAAGGCGUUCGGUUCGUAAAGCCCUCUUAUGGGGUAAGAACAGCUGUCGACUGAGACGAAGCGUGCGUGACGGUACCGAAUCAAGAAGCACCGGCUAACUACGUG